GUUCUUCCUCCUCCUCUUCAUGUUCUUUUACGUUCGGUAAUGUAGGUGUUGGCGGUGGCGAUAAAUCUGAGCCAAAGGUGCCUAACAGGUGCAUGAGCUGCAACAAGAAGGUGGGGUUGACGGGGUUCAGAUGCAAGUGCGGGAGUACCUUUUGCGGGGCUCAUCGUUACCCAGAGAAGCACGAGUGCACAUUUGAUUUCAAGGCCUCAGGGCGCGACGCCAUUGCCAAGGCUAAUCCGGUGGUUAAGGCUGAUAAACUGGACAGGCUGUGAAACCACCUGGAUUGGUAUCUUCUUUAUAAUCAUCAUCUUCUUCUUCUUCUUCUUCUUCUUUAGGGUUCCUUUAUUUGGUUAGGGCUUUGUGGGAAAGCUGGUGGUUAUGGUGCUGUUCUUGCUUAAUGGUGGUUUGUGGGUGAAAGGGAUGGAUAAUACGUGGUGGUUGGGGGGAGGGGGGUGGCUUCCAUAAUAAAGUGGCUAAUUGAAUUGUUAUUAGUUGUAGUUUGCCCUUUUUUCUUUAUUCUUUUUAAACUUUUUCUUCCCUCUUUUUCUGCUCUGCUGCUAAACUACUUUAUCACAUCUAUUCUAAUAUCCAUACCUAGCUUGGUAUUUAGGGUUAAUGAGUAUCUGCAUCCUUUUUCUUAGAAUAUGGCUUCUGAAACAUUCUUUCUUAAAAAUAAAUAAUAAAUAAUAAAUAAAUGAAUACGAAAAGUUACAAAUUUUAAUAUGAUUCAACUUACAAGAUCUUGUUUUAAGAAUAUAUGUAUUUAAUAACAGCAGCAGCCCAUGGUGGCUUUCUUUGUUCUGUUCUUGGUUUACUGGUAGAGUUUCUUUUCUAUCAGGGCUUGAUCGAAGCAGUCCAAGGGAUUUUUGUCGUUCUUCUUAAGCGAUUUUCAUUAAGAACAAUUAUCAUGUAAUUGUUAUUUUAUCGUGGGGUAGGGAUGCUUGGCUGCCCAUGACCUUAAACCCCACUCUUUGAAUUUAAUUCAGGCAUAUUCAAUCAAUUAUUUUAUUUGAAAUUUAUACGACACGAGGAAAAGUACUUAAAAUUAAUAUGAAACUUUUUAUUAACAAUUCUUAUUUAUGAAUAAAAUUAAUAUAAUAAUUAAAUAGGUUUUAUACAAAUUUAAAAUAUAAUGUUUUUUAAUUAUAUUUAAUAGUUAAUUUAAAUUCACCACUGAAGUUUCAGCUGACAUUUUCCAACUUGUAAUUUAAUAUUAAAAUUUUGGCCAAUUAGUGAUUACAUUGUGUUUUUGUAGAAAAAAAUUAUGGUGAUGAUAUAAUGAUGAUUAUUGUCGCCGUUAUCCAAAAAUUGACUGGAGGAUCUGUUGUCCAGUUUCAAGGGUAAAUCCACGUGUUUAAAGGCACAUCAAUUGGGUGUCUUGUUUAAUUAAGAUACACCCGUAAUAAAGAAGAUAUGCGACAUCCAGCUCUUACCUAACUGCUCUUCACAUGGACUUUGGAAAGAGAUAAUAAAGAAAAGGAAAAAAGGAAUGGUUGAUGAUGAGCUAUUUCAUUUUGAGAAAUGAGGUAGUUGGGAAUUGGCUGGCUUUCAUCAAUCUUCAUUUAGCAAUGCCCCCCCACUUUUGAAAUUGGAACCUUGCCCAGAAGAUACCUUUUGAACAUUGGGGUUGUGUUCUUCUAGUUCGACCAAAGGUGCCUUUUCUUUUUCACCCUUCACCCCUUCAAAAGGUAACCUUCUCAAAACAACAUCGGCUUGUUAUUGGUUUGCUCCAAAAGUAGUCUGUCGUUUAUAUUUGAAACUUUACUAAUUCAAUGCCAAACACCAUCUAACUUCUUUUAUUUGAAAAUGACUGGAACUCAAACAGGACUUGAAUGAACCCAUAUCAAUCAAAUAAGUCAAUUUUUUUAACUCCAGGGUUGGCGUGGGAUUGAAAUGACUGUGAGAAGAUGGUUUAAACAAUUACAUGGGCUCUUAUUUCUUGGAACAAUCCCACUACGAAAGGUGAGGACUUUACUUGAAAGAGUUGUUUUAGGCCUGAGCCUUAAGGCUUAAUGAUUGGAGAGACAUGGAAAAAAGGCAUACAAAAAGGGCAAUUAUUGGCAUUUUCAGCCUACCCUUUCUUCUGGGCCUGGGCUUCACUGGGUCUUCAAACCCGAGACCACCCUGCUAAAUUUAGUACAUCUCUGGUGCUACCUGCAUUCAUUUUGUUGGAUAAGCAUUGGAAAUUCAAACUCAGGGCCAAGAAGGCAUCAAAAAAUUGGCAGUGAGUCUAUGCAACAGUCCAUUUAUGUACUACAUCCUUGUAACAAGUCAAAAAAUGGAAUGAACAAUCUUGUCAAAGACUCAUGGUUGCCUUCCCCUUUUAGUUACUGUAUCAGAAGGUAUGCUUGGCCCCAAUAUGACUGCUAAUAUACUUUCCAUACUUUGAAUAUAAAACAAUCAGAAAACUCUUAUCAGCUUUGAUUCUCCUGUCCCAAAAAUCCACUCAUUGAAUCAAUGAAAAUGAGCAAAGAUGGAAACUCUCUGCAACAUAUCAUGUGGAUCAAUGAAAGGGGAAAAACAUUAAUAAAUAUCUUCACUGCAGUGUCCUGUGGGAUUCAUUAUGAAUCUUGGCUUGGGUGUGAGGUAUAAAACAUUGAUUUUCUUGCUUACACUUCAUGUGAAUAAACAGGAGAGAAGGAGAGAAGGGAGCUAUAUGACAAGUGCUCUAAGACUUUGAGAACCCAUGUUGAGGACCACAGGGUUUGAAACUUUAGAUGAAGAGUCUUAAUCAGGACAAAGUAAAAGGCAAGAAGAAAAAUAAAGGGUACCCAUAAGGCCUGACAUGGUGGAUCAGACCAUGUCCUCUCCGUUAAUUGCAAAGCUUGAGAGGAUGAGCUCUAAAGGUAAUGAAUCAGGAGUGGUGAUGGAAAUCCCUGUCAAACCAAUUUGCCACUUUCUCUACUUUCUGUAAGGCUACAUGCCUUUUGGACUCUAAAAAAAAGAUGAUGAAUGGUUCACUUUAUGCAAUGUGCAAUGAAACUCAUGAUAUAAGAACUCACAUUGCCCCUUAUCUGCCCCCCCCUGGCUGUCUUCUUGAACCACCCAACAGUGAUCAUGACUUAGGUCCACCUAUGUGACUGCAUUUUGGAUGUGGCAUGGCAAUUGAAAGAUUCCUCCACGGUUUUCACAAUCUUUAGUCGAUCUAGGACUAGACUAUCUAAAUGUACAAGGUUUAUCCCAUCUACCAUAACACCCACCCUCCAUUGCGGAGCUUUGAUUCACCCCAAAACUUAUAAUAAAAUAUGAUAAUCUCUAAUUGCAUAAAGUAACAUGAUCGCAUGUCCAACAAAAGCAAAUGUAUUAAGAAAGAGAAUGCUAAAGUUGUAAUUUUGAAACUACAUAAUUGAUUUGUGAUUAUCAUAUACAUUAGCAACUUUUUAGAUUCUCCGACAAGAUUGUUCUAAUCCAAUAUUUCUUCGUUAAGGUUAAGUAAAAUCGUUGAAUAUGGGUGGGGGGCCCUGAUCAAGGACAUGUUAACAACUAGAAAGGUAAGAGAGUUCAUGGGUUAAAAUCGAUCUGCUUCAUUGCAACCACAUUAAUUUUGGUAGGUGGGUCUAUGAUGCAACCUCCACCCUCUCAAAAUCUGCAUGUCACUGUCUUCUCAAAUGUGACUUAGGGCUCACCCUCUCAUGUCUUGAUAAUUCAUUGUAUGCAAAUGGUUCUAAUGGGGUUGCCACCCCCAUGUCCCAUCACGUGAUUAGAAUUUUUUAUUUAUAAGAAAAAUUGAUCUCAACCAUCCAAUUAUUAAUAGAAAAGACUUAAUAAUGUAUUGCCAAAAAUACAGAUCAUUUGUACCUUCUUGUGGGUGCACCCAUGCCUUUACCUUUAGCAAAAUUAAACUUUCUCUUUUCCUCGAUUGCCUUGUCUGAAUCACAAUUGGGUCAAUUUCAGUGGGACAUGGCAUAAGAUGAUGACCUUUCAAAAUGGGAUGAUUUUCUAAUUAGGAGUUUUCUACUCAAAAUUCAAAAAUACGUUAUAAUUUCAAAUGUUAGUAACUACCUUUUCGCGCCCAUAGGAAAAUUAAUAUAUGGCAGAUUCCAAGGAUAUACACUUUAGCCUUUUAAGUGCUAAAGCUAUCCCACUCCUUUAUAACUUUUCUUUUCUUUUUUUUGGGAAGAUUUUCAAACUAAUUUGUCAUUUUCAAUAUGCAAUAAUAGCCCUUGUUAUGUUUCAUGAUUUACCCAAAUGCCCUGUGAGGAUUCUCCCCCCACGAUCCACACAACAUACAAAAGAGUGAGUGGGGUGUUGUCAAUUUUGUAAAUGCACCAACAAUAACUAGACGACCAGAUAGUUUUUGUUUUGUUUUUUCUGUUUUUGUUUUUCUUAUGUUGAGACUAAAAGACCAUAAAGGGCUUUCUACGUACGUUGUAUUUUCUUAUCAAUCUUUUUUUUUAUUUUUUAGAUAGUAAUCAAAAUUCCAAAAUUUCUCAUCAUUUUAAGAGUAUAUUUGAAAAUAAAAUUUUAAAAACGUUUUCAAUAUUUUUAAUACUUAAAUAAUAUAUAUUUUUAAAUAUUAAAAAUAUUUCUUAAAAUCACUAUUAAACGAAAUCUUAACUAUAAAUAACAUGUAAUGUCUAUCACACUAUAUAAGAUAGCGAUCUUGUACAUGAGAAGGAAAAUUUAUGUUUUACAUGUGGGGGUGUCGUAUAAAGUGGGUAAAGAUAAUGCUGAGAAUUCAAAGGUGGCGCAAGUUGACUGUAAGAGUGGACUCUUCCGCCACAUAAUAGAGGGUGGGAUGACACAUAUCACGUCAAACGCUGAGUGUUAUUUAUAAGAAAAGGGGCAUUGAGUAAUGGUAAUGGAGUAGGAAAGAAGAAGUGUGGAAAGUCUCAAUUGCAGGCAUGGUGUCUUGUCUCUUCGCUGUCUCCUUUUGAGUGUGGGAGAGUUGAGGAGGAGAGUGACGGCCUUCCUUUAAUUUCCCCAUGCCAACCACAAGGCUACAAUUCUAAGCAAAUAUCUUUCUCUUUUUAUUCUCUAUUAAUUUGUCUUUAUUUUCCAUUUCCACAGCGCUUCCCCUCUGUGUUAAGGGCCCGUUUGCAUGGAUUUUUUUAAAAAUUAGAAGGUUUUUUUUUUUUUUUAGUUUAAUAAAAUUUUUAAUAAUUAUUGGGUGGUUUCGUCAUUUGGCCUAUUCGCAUUUCCAUGGGACUAUGGGAGUUACACAACGUGGAUACGGUCGGUGAGUGAAAUUUAAAACGAUCACGAGGCUGGUUUUUGAAAAUAUAUCAAACUGUGAAGGGUAGUUUUGUAAUUGAGACUGAAAAAUUAAGAAGAAAGUGAGGAACUCGGGACCCGCCGGGGUAUGACCAGGCCAUCUCUCUCUCUCUCUCUAAAACGCGGAAUUUUCUGGCUCGCAUCUCACACGAUUCACUCCACUUUCUUUCAAAACUUUCUCGCUCUUUCUUUCAAAUUUGCUCGGAAAAUUUCACUCCAGGAGUUCAAUGGCUGCGACCCUUUGAGGCUUGGGAUGUGAAAAUGGCGGCUUCGGGUGGUUACAGAAAUGGAACUCACAAGGGCAAUAUGAAGGUGGAUAGGCUGGUCUCCCUCAGUUCCGCCACCAAGUCUUCCUCUCUCAAGUCCAAGCCUUCCCCAGCGUCGCCCGCUUCUUCUGGGCUCCGCCGCAACAGCACCGGCUCUGUCGGUGGAGCAAAAGACGAUGCUGGAGGUCAGUUCUCUCUAUCUUUUGAAGUGGGUUUGUUGUGGUUGGUAUUGGGUUGUGGGUGUGGAGGAGUGUGAGUUGGUGUUCUAAAUUUGGUUGGAUUGGAACAAAAACGUUAAAUCGGUGCUUGUUAUGUUUGUAAUGGGAAAGCUAUUUUGGGAAACUAGGGGCUAUGUGAAGGAUUUGAUUAGGUGAUGGGCACCUUUAAAAUCAAGUCAUCUGAUAAAUGGCGCAAAAGAAUUCAUAUAGGGAAGCCCAAGUGGACAAGAUCGAUACUUUGUGGAAUGGAGUAGGGAGUAUUUGCUGAUUUGCUAACUCGUGUUCUAUUUAUUUUGUGUGAUAAAAAUUUGUCACCAAGAAUUGGAGGUUACACAGGAUCGUUUGGGAUUUCUAUUAUAAAGUGAAUUAUUGAGACUUGUAAUAAAACUUAUUUCAAAUGGUAGAAAGAGAGCAAAAAGGUAGACCAUUCUUCACGGUAGGACCUCUCUAUUGUGCAUGCUAUUAGGAAUCGGAAGAAAUUUUCUCAUAAAUAAUGCCAUUCUAUUGGUGUGAUGACUUGUUUCCAUUUUGGUAGUGCAGAAUAACUGAUUCCUUUAUGGAGACUUAGCCUUUCGUGAAAUAAAUUCCAAGUCAUUUUAUGGGUGUGGAUUGUGAUUCAAUAAAAAGAACUUAAUAAAAACGUGAAGAGGUGCAGUAUUCUGGUAAUAACAUUAAGAUCAACAAUGGUGGACUCGUGUAAUAUUGGCAGUAAAAAGUCUGAAGAGCCAUCAUCUAGAAGGUUUUCUUAGUCUGGCAUUAAGACAGUUGUCAUGCAUGAUCAUGAUUCAUGGAUGGUGCUGAAGAAUCAUGUAGGUAGACCUCUUCCUCACUUUCUUAUUUCGAUAUCCAUUUUGCCAAUACAUGGAGUCGAUUUUAAUAGAUGGAAUAAAUACUUGAAACAAAAGAGAUCUAUGUUCUUUUCUUAAUAUCUAUUGACCAAUGACCAUCACUGAUGAAAUCUCAUAAACUGGGAAAAAUUGUAAAGAAGCAACAGGAUCAUGAUUCAUAAAUGCUUAACAAGUUUGAUGCCUCUGUCCUUCCAGAACAAGCAUAUGCUUACCAACAAAAGAAGGAAACCUUUAAACCUCCCUUUUUAUUCAUGAGGAGAGCUCUAGCUUAAGCAGAAUGGUUAAUCUUGCCAUACUACUAUGGCUACUCCUACUACUCAUAUUGCUACUGAUUGUAAGUAUUAAUGCUGCUACACCUUAUUCCUAUGGCCUCUGCUAGCAUUACUUUAAGAUGUGUUUUUCUGAUGGUAAUGCUUUCUGUGGCAUAAGCAAUGUGUACAUAUUAUUAAGUAUCUUCUCAAAUUUCAAAAAGUAAGCUUUCUAGUGUUCCUCACAUCCAUUGAUGUUGCAUAUAAUGGAUAUGACAAACUCCAAUUUGAUAAUUUAAUGUUCUGGCAAUAUAAUAUUUCCUUUUACUUUAGACACCUAGCCAGUUGAAAGGAUUUUCUGCUUGAUCUGGGGAGUAUAACAAUUCCAUAAUUAAUGGGUAUUUCAAAUAUUAUAAAUUGAUCCCCUUGUAGUCCCAGUGUAGUAAGGUUGCACCCCCUUUUUUUUGUUGGAGGCUCUUCAAUCUAAGUUUCUGUUUGCCUAUCAAUAUAACAAAUUGAUCCUUUGAACAACGAUUUACCGACUAGUAUGGUGCUGCAUGGCCACUUCAAAAUGGAUGAAGUAUUUAUAUUGGAAAUUACAUGACAUGGGCAUGGUAUGUCUCUGUCAUGCCUAUAAUUGGAUACAUACUCAAUAAGCAUGUCUAAUAAUGGAAUAGAGAAAUGCGUUUCUCAUCCCCUAUAUGUUCUUUUUUGAUAGUCUUUUUUAUUCCAUAUAUGUUCUUUUUUUUAUGAUUAAUCUUUCUUCUUUGUUGCAUGAAUGCUUCAAUAAGAAUGAAGUACCCUUGCUGGAUAUGCAAAGUUACAUUUAAUUUCAGUUCUAGGUUCAGAAAAGAAACAUGGACACAUCAAUGGUUCAGACAUGUCUCCUCCAUCCUCUGAAAUUUCAGGAUUAAACACAUUACACAUAUGAAUCCCUGUCCUCCCUGUCUGGAGCUGUAAAUUUCUGUUUGUUGGAAGUCAUGUUUUUGUUAAGGAAAGGGAUCAAGCUAGUAUGUAACAAUAACAAUCACCAAGAAAUUUUUCCAACAUUUUUCUUUUGUUAAAAGGCUUUGAUGGUGUGCUUUCGUAUUUUUAUGCUGUAUUUUUAACUUUUAUGAAUGCUAAAUAUAGUUCCUGGGAGGGUUCGAGUGGCUGUAAGAUUGCGACCGCGGAAUGCAGAGGAGUUGGUGGCUGAUGCUGAUUUUGCUGAUUGUGUAGAAUUGCAGCCAGAGGUGUUCUUGAUGUUAUUUUUCCUGUUAUAGAAUCUAUACAUGCAUACAAUAUCCUUUUAUUUUACUGAUGGUUUCUCUGUCAUUUUCAUUGUUUGUUUGCUCCAUUCAGCUUAAAAGGUUAAAACUUCGAAAGAACAAUUGGGACUCAGACACCUAUGAGUUCGAUGAAGUGCUUACAGAGUUUGCAUCACAAAAACGUGUAUAUGAAGUUGUUGCGAAACCUGUUGUGGAGGUGCAUGGCUGUCAAAGUUGUCAAUUUUAUCAUAAAUACUGUAGUCAUUUGCAUCAGUUCUGUUAUUUUAAGGCAUAGCAGGUGCAUGGAUAGUUGAAUUUUUCGAGUUUAUAAUGUUGGUUUCUUCUAUUUGUGAUCUAUGAUUGCCCUAGAAGCCAUGGCUCUUAGUUUUUUUUAUCAGCCAAACAGAAUGGCAUCAGUCUUGGAAAGAUCAGCUUUGAUAUGGAAUACCAUCUAUAGAAGAAGGAAAAAAUAAAAGACAAAUUUGUUAACUUUCAACUCCGAACAGAAUAACAAAAUAAUGAAUAUCAAACUUAAAAAAAGAAAACUAAAAGAAUUAGCAGAUAGUUAAUAUCAUCUCUUAUGGUUUAGGAUAUUGAUUUUCAAAAAUAAAUCAAAAGUAUUUAUUACAGAAAAGAAGAGGCAAAAAAGAGGAGGCCGCAGAGAGGUGCAUGUGUGAGUGUGGAAGGGGGCCUGCUGUUGGUGAGGGGUGAGCAAGGAGUGCUGAAAGAACAAACUCACUGUAUAUCACUGCAUUUCACUUUGCUACACUACCCUAUUCACACCAAAAUUAUGAAAUAGAUUGAUUCUUUGGGAAAAUUAUCAUUAGAAGAUAUUAUUUCAAUUGAUUUUUUUUUUCCUUUUUCCUUUUGCUUUUGAUUGACCACUUCUUGCCUCUGUUAUUAAUGUCUUGUAUUGGAUAUUUAUUAUAAUAAUUAUUAUUAUUUUAUGCAUGAAAUCCUUCAUCUGUUUUCACCUUUUUUUCACUCCCAUGUCCAAGAAAAUUAAAUAUAAAUGUUUAUUUUCCUUUUUAUUUGAGUUGGAUGAUUUUAUACUAGUGUGAUCUGUCAUUAUUUUUGAUGGAGGCCAUCUAAGUCAUACUUUUGAUGGCAAUUAAACUUCAGACAGCAGGUUUUCAUAUGUUGUUUGCUUCUACAGAGUGUUUUGGAUGGUUACAAUGGAACAGUCAUGGCAUAUGGACAGACUGGUACUGGGAAAACAUACACACUUGGGCGACUUGGAGAGGAAGAUACUGCUGCGCGUGGAAUAAUGGUGCGUGCAAUGGAGGAUAUUUUAGCAGAAAUUUCUCCAGAGACUGAUUCUGUCUCAGUCUCCUAUUUGCAGGUUGUUAGCCUUAAAAAUAAUAUUAAGUUCAUGCUUAAUUUAUUGUUGUUGUUAUUUGUUUAGUAUAUUGUUGCUAGUUUAUGAAAUUUUCACUUUUCAGUUAAGCCAAUUUCAUUUCAUCUUGUAAGGGAUCUUUGAUAUAUUCUAUAAAGGCGUUUUUCAGAUAUAAUUUGUCUGACGUUCUUGUUCUUUACAAAUAUCUUCAGCUUUAUAUGGAAACCAUUCAGGACCUCCUUGAUCCUACUAAUGACAACAUAUCUAUCAUGGAAGACCCGAAAACUGGAGAUGUUUCACUACCAGGGGCCACCCUAGUAGAAAUCAGGGACCAGCGGAGUUUUGUGGAACUGCUACGGUUAGGGGAAGCUCACCGCUUUGCUGCAAACACAAAAUUGAAUACCGAAUCAUCUCGUAGUCAUGCUAUUUUGAUGGUGAAUCCUUAUCUGCUGAUGUUCAUGCUUUUCUUUCUUGAGCACUUAUUUGGAUUGGUUGUUUUAUUCUAAUGGAGCAUUGAUGGAUUUCUCUUUUGCUGCAGGUACAUGUUAAGAAAUCUGUAAAGGGAAGGGAUUCAGCUCUUUUAAGUGAAAAUUGUAACAGUUCCCACAUGGUUAAAACUUUUAAGCCACCUGUUGUUCGGAAAGGGAAGUUGGUUGUGGUAGAUCUUGCAGGUUCAGAGCGUAUUGAUAAGUCAGGUGUGUAUGAUAACUUAUGGAUAGGAGAAUUAUUUCUUUUCCCUGAUGACUGAUUGAGCUUUCAUGAAUAUGUAAAAUCAUGUUUAUAUUUUUUGAAUUGAAAGUGAUACCCUCCUGUUUUGGUUGGCUGGUGCCAUCUCAAUCCAUGGCUUGAAAUGUCCUGUUUAAGUUGGAGGAGCAAAAGCUCCAAGUUUGCAGUUUUUUUUAUAGUUAAUUUCAAAAAAAUCACUUUUAGCAAUAAUAGGUUUAGGGCUCAUGAGCCCACUAGCUUAAAUCUUUGGGAAUGAGAGAGUUGGCUCUUUCAAUUGCUAAAUUUUAUUUCUGUUUGCGAAUUGUAUUCAACUGUAACAAUAAUUUUAAAUCAUAUUUCAGCAUGUUCAUACAAAAUUAGCAUCUCUUGUCCAGUAGAAUGUCUGUUGAGGAUGGAGAAGUUGAGUUACGGAGUUCAUUGGUUAUAGCAUCUUGAGGAAGAGAUCUUUGCUUUGGGAUUUUUUUUUUUGUUUUUUGGGCACUUCCAUUUUUGUUCUUUCAAAUAAGCAGAAGAGACAAAUCAAAGUAUGUAAAAUCAGUAAACCCAUUUUUUAAGAAAAACAAAAAUUCUAAAUGUUAUAUUAUUAUAGCUGUUCCAUUUUUAGUACUUUGCUUCUCAAUUACACUUCAGAGUUUGCCAUUUGUUUGUUAUUUGGCAGGAAGUGAGGGACAUACAUUAGAGGAAGCCAAGUCUAUUAAUCUUUCUUUAAGUGCUUUGGGAAAGUGUAUUAAUGCACUGGCAGAGAAUAGUGCACAUGUCCCGGUUCGUGAUUCAAAACUUACAAGAUUGCUUCGAGAUUCAUUUGGAGGUGAGUUGUUCAUGCAUAUGGUAAGCGAUAUUUCUCCUUUUGGUGUGGUCUUCACUCAAUUUUAUCAAACUUUCCUGGACAUGGUUUUCUCAUUUAAACAUAUUUAUUGAUUUGGAUGAAUCUCAGCACUGAAGCUUCCGAAAGCUCAGAUGAGAAAGUCUUGAGUCUUAUACUCUCUUUGGGAAGUGUUUUUAAAAAUAAUUUUUGAAAAUUGUUCUUUGAUAUUUUGCGAAACAAAAGUCUGGUAGGAAAUUUAAAAUAUUCUUAACCUGUUUUCUAUUUUUUAAAAUAUGUUUUAAAAAUAACUUUUAUUUCUGGUUUCUCAGAAAAUUGUUUUUUGCUUUCUGAUUGUCAAACAUGUUUCUAUGCUUUUUUGUUUUCAAAAAUAGAAAACUGUUUUUGAAAAUAGUUAUCAAAUAGACCCUUAAGUACUUGAGCCCCGUUGUUACAUGUAUCCAAAUGCAAUAAUUGGCUGGAUAAUAGAGGACUGGUGCAAAAAUGUUAGUGGCUAUGGAGAGAGGUUGGCAAUCCCAAGGGACCCCUUCCUCCUACUCACUAUUUAUUUAUUUAUUUCUGAAAUUUCUUCAAUUAAAUAUAUAAUUUGCAGUUGAACCCCUUUAAAGUAAUGAUUUUACUCACCCAAUCAUAUAAUAUUCAUAUGAGUUUUAUGAGUACAAUAAUAUCUUCAAAUUACCCCAAAGAACAACUCUAAUUUGCAAGUCAGCCCUUAAAAUGAUUCAAAUCUUGUUUUAUGCCAUCCCUACCAAAUGAUAUAGUGCCUUCAGGAAAAAUUUGUAUCUUGAUCAGUAUUAAGGACAAUACUUUCUUCCUUGGCCUUUUACUCUAAAAUGGUAUUCUCCUUUUGAAGAUCCUUCACUCUGAUGACUAUUUGCAUCUGCUAAAAAAAUAGAUAGCUGUUUUAAAGAAGAGGAAGAGGAAAACAUGGAGACAAAAAUGGGAUUGACUGCAGAAUUUUUUUACAUGUACCAUAGGAAGAGAGAAAUUAUCAAGGAACCAUUUUUAGCACAUAAAAGACUUAAAAAUGAUGGAAUUAUCCCUGUCAAUAAUGGCUCCCAUUUAAAAGGGAUUAUUUGGUGAUUUAGGCAAUUGGAGUAUAUUCCUUUUGAAGUAGAGUUUUUCAAAGCAGUUGGAGAAAUUUAAAAUGGCUGGUCUCAGCUUGCCUGUUCAUGCUGAUAUCCUACAUAUUGAAUCUACUGGAAAGUGCCUGGGUCUUGAACCACUGAAAAUCUUGCCAAAGUUCUAACAAUUAUUUUUAAGGGGGCAUGUUCUAUUUCCUAGCAAGCAGACAGAAAGGUUCUGUCAUAGAUUUUCAAUGCUAUUUCAGAAUUCUUUCUAUUUGGUAGCAGUCAGUUCAUCCUUGGCUGUAUCUUCUAUUUUACAUAGAUGUGCUGAUUUAUCCUUGUGUUUAUUUUGACGCAGCAUUUAAAAUAUUUUAACCUUUACAUUAUUCCAGGCACUGCAAGGACUUCAUUGGUUGUCACUAUUGGUCCAUCCCCACGUCAUCGUGGAGAGACAUCAAGCACCAUCAUGUUUGGACAAAGGGUAGGUUCCAAACUUAUAGCCUAAUUUUUUUCCUUUUAGAGUUAUCUAUAGUUGCAAUCCUUGUCAUGUAUUCAAUUUUAUGGCUUUUUUUAUUAAUACCGUUGUUGCAACCCAAUAAUAUCUUUGUGUUUUGACACGGAUGAAAAUAUCGGUUUUUACAAAUAUAUCGACAAUUAUAUUUUACGGAUAUAUCGGUGAAAGAAAAUUGAUCAAAACUAAUAGAAACAUUAUGAAAAACUCCAAAAAAAUGAUAGAAGAAGCAAUAACACACUUUAUUUAUAUGUGACAUAGUUUGUGAUAUUCAAUGCACUAAUAAAGAAUAUAAAUUUUCUAAGCAUACGUCCAAUAUUGAUUUGUAUUAAGUAUUUAAUUUCAUUAGAUGUAUGUCAAUAAUUUAUAUAUAUUACAUUAUCAUAUUUCCAUUUAACAACAAAAUGAAGAUCGACGUGAUUCUGUGGCACUAUGGAGAAUCUCAUCUUAGUGGAAAUAAUAUUGGAUAUAAUUUGCAAUAUUCAACACUAAUAUGUAAAAUUUGAAAAUGAAGAUCAAAAAAAAAAAAAUAUGUAAAAUUUGAAAAUAUAUUUAAUAUUAUAUUUAUUGUGUGAUACAUAGAUAAUUUUUUUUGAUAAGUAUUUUUCAGUUUAAAAAUAUUUAUAAUUUUAUUUAUAUAUUUUUAUAAUUUAUUUUGCAUUUAACUCAUUAUUUUUGCAUUUUCAUUAAUAAAUUAAAUAGAAUUUGAAAAUAAGAUAAAUUAAUAUUAAUUAAUUUAUUAAAAUUUUAUUUUAAUAUUUUAUUUCUUAUGAAUUCAUAUAGAAUUUAGAAAAAAAAAUAUUAUAUAUUAAAUAUAGGAUAUAGGUUGUUACAAAGAUGGAUUGUCCAGUUGGUUAGCUGCAACCUCUUCCACAUAUUAUACCCAGGUUUAAGGCCUAGCUUGCAAUUUACUUUUUCCCAAAAUAACAAAUAUGAUAAUAAUAAUAAUAAAAAAAAAACACCUGGCUUGCUUUUACGGUUUUACCACAUCACAGAGCCCCUUUGGCCCAUUCAAUUUUUCAAUUGAAAUCAAAGGAAAAGAAAACUUGGCAUGCAUUGACCACGCCCCUUGCCCCUUUGACUGCUUAAAAAAUCGGGAAAAAUUCUGAUAAAUUGGGAAAAUCCCUAUAAAUUGGGAAAAAUCAAGAAAAUUUCCUGAUAAAUUCCGAAAUUUCCAUCAGUGGAAAUAUCUCCUGCAUGUUUCAUGUUGGGCUCUGCCGACACUGAUAUAUCCUCGAAAUAUCGCCAAUUUUUUGGUGAUAUUUCCAUUCUUGGUUUGACAUUCCUGUUGUAUACUUGAAAUUUUAAUUUCUAAUGAUGCAAUGUAGUGGAUAUUUUUUCUGUGGGGAGUUUGCUCAUGCAUGAAAUUAAUAUUUUUUGCUAAUACUUUUUCCUCUAGGCUAUGAAGGUGGAGAAUAUGUUGAAAAUAAAGGAAGAGUUUGAUUAUAAAAGUUUGUCUAGAAGGCUUGAGAUUCAAUUAGACAAACUCAUUGUGGAACAUGAAAGGCAGCAAAAAGCAUUUGAAGAUGAGGUUGAAAGGAUAACUGUAGAAACACAAAAUCAUAUAUCUGAAACUGAAAGAAACUAUGCUGAUGCGUUGGAGGUAAGUGCAUACAUAUAAAAGUUUCAUUUUUUUUUUUUUUUUGUUUUGAUAUGAACAUCAGCAUUGUUUUAAGCUCACACACAAGUAUGCAUAUAUUUAUGCAUUACAUAUAUAUGUAAUAGUUAUCUUUACUCGUGAAUGAGCAGGCUCAUAGGCUAAUAGCUAAUGAUACAAAUAUUUGAUUUUGUUAUCAAGUAGCUGCUGAAUUGGACACAAGCUGCUUUGUUUGUUGAACCUGUACUAUUUGUUUAAUUAUUAAGCUAAAUGCUGUAGCUCUAAGGGUUGUCAUGGAUGUUUCAUGAUUACUUGUCGAGAAACUGUUUAUGAUAAAAAUACGUACAAUAACUUCUCCUAGUUCUUAUAUUUAUUUUAGAAAUCCUCAGUCUAAGGUGGUUAGUUUUCCAUUCUUGCAUGUUUAAUUGUAUGAAUGUUGUUUGGCCUUCACACGAAUGUAGCUUUUGUGGGAAUGUACAUAAUUUCUUUCAAUAUUUGUUUUUUGCUUUUAUUCUUAUUAUUAGAAGUUGGAAUUUUUUUAUAAUUGAGAGAUAGGUCUUGGCCUAGUGGUUUUAUCAACCGUAGAACUUCAAUUUAGCAAUUCAUAUUGAUCAUGCUUGAUUUAGUGCCAUUUGUUAGUUUUAGGUGCUAACUUAAUGCUUCUUAAAAUUAUCUUGUUCCUUUUCAGAAAGAAAGAUUGAAAUAUCAGGAAGACUACAUGCAAUCAAUAAAGAAGCUUGAGGAGCAAUGGGUGAUGAAUCAGCGGAAGCAUGGCAGUGAAAGAACCACAUUUGGGCUCAAAGAUGAUAACUUUGAUAAGACACUUAAUGGAGUGGUAAUCAUAUUUUGGAAUUAUAUAUCUUGUCAAAGAGUAUGGUUUGUAAUGGACAAACCAUGGCAUUCUCUACUCUCUCUCUCUCUCUCUUUCUCUUUGUGUUACCGGAUUUGCUAGUUUCUACUUGCAUUGGUUGUGAACCAUUUUUCGGGUUGGUGGUUGGAUGUGAAAUGCAGCAUAAAAACCUAGCUUGAAGGAUAAUCCCUCUACAUUGUGAUUUGCUUGUGGAAGAAAAGUAGAAUAUUUAAAAAUUUCCAAGAAAUAAAGUAGUGAUUGAAAACAAUAUGAAUCUUAAAAUGAAUUAAGAUAGUUCCCUUUUCCUUGAAGGUAUUAUCUUGUUAAAAAGUGAAUUCUAGGGGAUUAGUGAUUAGUGUAUGUAUAACAAAAUUCAUUGUCUUUCUCGAUAAUGAAAUUCAUAGCAAAAACAAUGUUUAGUGAAGAUAGAAAUAUAUUUUUGUUUAUUAGAUUACCUAUUAAAAACUAGAUUAACCAUUUGAUAUUGUUUGAUCCAAUGGUAGUGUUAAUGGUGACAAUGAUGAUGGAAAUGGCAUUGGUGAGGGUAAUGGUGGUGGUGGUAGUGGUGUAGGUGAUGAUAGUAAAGGUGGUUAUGACAAUGCUAGUGGUGACCAUGAUGGUUAUGGGAGAUUGGUAUUGGCGGUGUCUUGCUUAUGUGAGUGACAAAGAGGUAGUGUGGUAUUGCUUGUGUCUUUUUGGUUAUGGUGGCAAUGAUGAUGGUAGCCAUCGGGUAGUUAUCUAAUGUCUUCAUCAAAUAGAAAAAACAGGGUCAAAGAAAUUUUAUAUUUCAUUCUUAGAACUUGGAAAAGUAUCAAAUUCUUAAAUUCUUAUGGAAAGUUUGGAGUUCAUUACGAAUAUAAGAGAGUUCCUUUUCUGAGAGUGCAUUCUUGAAUCAAUAACCUCACGCAAAUUUCUAGAAUGCAUCUUAUAUAUUUUGGAAGGAUUUCUCAUCUUUUAUUAUAAUUAUUAAUUCAUAUCUAUGAAUUUGUUGUUUACGUUAAAAAAUGAAAAAAAAAAAAAAAGAACAAAGAAAUAGGCUCUAAGUUGGAAAAUUUUGUAAAAUCUGUUACGUUUGGGCUUCUUGUUUAGAGAAAUUUUUAAGGGUAUUCUUUUAUAGUUUUCAGAACUUGUUGGUAAGUGAUCCUAUAUUGUUUUAUAUACCUUGCCAUUAGACAUCAUUUUGUUGGCUUCUAGAGAUAUUUACCAUUUUGUUUUAAGAGGGGAUUCAAAGGGCACCAUUAGGUGAGUUGGGCUUCAUUCUCAUGUUGCAUAGAGGUUACUUUGCCUCAUUGGGGAGAUUAUUAACCUUACUAGUGAUUUAUGGCAACCUUGGGAUGAUUAUCUACAAGGUCGGUUAGGGUUUCAAUCUUUUAGGAUUUAAGGAAUAGAGAACAAGAAUAAAAUUAUAACAUCAGGAAAAAGAAUAAAAUAAAGGAUAGGAAAAGAAAAGAUAAAGAAGAAGGAUAAGAAACAUUGGAGUCCUAGUAAAGCCUUCUAGGAGUUUGAUGUGUAGAAGAAAAGUAAUAGAUUCCCACCAUUAAAAUUGCAAGGUAUGCAAAAAAAAUUAAUAUUAUUUAUCAUCAAUCAUUCAUCCUAUUUUACAUCAAUUAACCUUCUAGGAGUUCUAGGUUUUGAGACAAGGUGUUGUCUCCUUAUCUAUUUGUGUUGGGAUGGAUACCCUAGGUAUUCAAAUCUUUUGAGAAAGGUCAGGGAGGGUUACUUCAUUUCAAGCUUCAAGGUGGGAGGUAGAAGCAAAAAGGGUGUAGAGAUUUUUCACCUCUUAUUCAUUGAUGAUAUACUUCUCUUUUGUAAGCAUUUCUCAGACUAGGUCAUUUAAAUGAGUUAGGUUUUGUUUUGGUUUGAAGCUUCUUCAGGGUUGAGAAUUAGUCUAGACAAAAGUGAAUUAAUUCUAGUGGGAGAUGUCCCUAAUGUUGAGGAGCUUUCCUUUUUGUUGGUUAUUGGGAGGGAAAGUUUCAACUACUUACUUAGGCUUACCCUUGGCAUCUACUUUCAAGUCUCCAACUGUGUGGGAUGUGGUUGAGGAGAGGUUUAAUAGAAGGUUAGUUCUUUGGAAAAGACAAUACCUGGCAAGAGGUGGUAGACUCACUUUACUUGAAAAUACUUUGUGCAGCUUGCCUAUUUAUUUAUUUUGUGUCUCUUUUUGUCAUUCCUAAGGCAAUGGCUUUAAGAUUGGAAAACUUAUUAGGAUUUCUAGUGAGGUACGGGGGGGAGAGCUCUUCAAGAAAAAUCCUACCUGGUCAAUUGGUCAUCCAUUUGCAAAGAUAAAAAAAGGAGGGUUAGGUAUUAGGGUUUUGGGCUCUCUCAAUAAAGUCUUGCUUGACAAAUGAUGUUGGAAAUUUGCUUUAGAAAGGGAGUCCCUUCAGAGAUAAGUCAUAGUGGUAAGGUUCGGAAAAGAAUUGGGACACUAGUGCUCUCUUGUAAGGAGAGAGGGGCAUGCUGUUGGCUUAUAAAAGGCAACAAGAGGAGGUUGGGGAGCCUUUAAGGGUAGAACAAGAUUUUUGGUAGGUAACGAAAGAAGAAUCAAAUUUUGGCAAGAUGUUUGGCAUAGGGAUACUCCUUUAAAGGAUUUCUUCGUCUCUCUUUUCUUUUUUGCAGCUAAUAAGGAGGCAUGGGUGGUGGAUGUUUGGGAGGUUGUAAACGAGUAGGUUGCUUGGAACCUAGGCUUCGUAAGACAAUUUCAUGGUUGGAAGUUGGAUAACAUUGAGGAGUUACUUAGGAGACUUAAAGGGGGCAGCAAAGACAACAAUAAGUUGAUUUGGAUGGUUAUCAAGAGUGAGAAUUCCUUAGUGAAUUCAUUCUAUUCUACAUUGGUUUUGGAUGAAGAAGUAUAUUUUCCCUUGAAAAUAGUGUGGGGCUCUUGUUUGCCAUUAAAAAUAGGUUUCUCUGCUUGGGAGGUGGCAUGAGAAAGGAUCUUGAUCUUAGAUCAGCUUAAGAGAAGAGGAUAGGUAUUGGCAAAUCAUUAUUGUUUAUAUAAGAGUUCUGAAGAAUCGGCCAACUAUAUGCUGAUUCAUUGCAGAAAGGCAAGGGGUCUGUGGUAUUUUUUGUUUUCUCUCUUUGGCAUCUCUUGGGUUCUCCCUUCUGUGAAAGAUUUGCUAAAAGGAUGUCACGGGAGUUUCAUGAGCAAAAAUAGAAGGAAGAUUUGGAGGACAAUAUCUCUUCGCUCAUUUUGAAUAAUUUGGCAAGAACAAAAUCGAAGAUCCUUUGAAAGAAUUCAAUAAUCAGAUCAUGUGCUAAAGGAGUGAGUUCCUUCCUUGUACCCUACUCCAAUGGACCUAUCAGUAUAUUUAGGAUAACCCUAUAUCCUUAUUACAAUUUAUUGAUUGGUUAAGUGCUAGAUAGUGGGAGAGGGUGUGAUUGAUUGUAUGUUUAAUGUGGCUUUUUUUUUUUGUUGUUUUGGAACCCUUUGUAUACCUCUUAUGCAUGUAGGGCACCAUCCCCUCAUUUUGAUUGGCGCUUUUUAUAGAUAUUCUUGCUUGCCUAUCUUGUCGUGGGGGGGAGGGGUGGGGUAAACUCGUAAAUUUUCUAAAUAUUGAAAUUAAAAGAAAAUAGAAAUUUUCAUUUAAGAAUUAGAGACUUGCUUUGUAGAGAAACUUUUGUAACAAGAAUUUAUAGUAAAGAAAACUUCUUGAUUCUAAUGACUCAAAAUUGAAACUUUUGCCAUUUCGUUUAAGGAGGAUUCUAAAACUUCCUAAAUUCUGAAUAGAACUCAAAUACUAACUACUAACAAAUUAUGAUCCUAAAGAACCUAAAAAAAUGCAAAAUUAUUUAAACAUUGUUGAUAAAGUAACUUGAGACUUAUUUAUUUUCUUUCUUUCAUUUCUUGAGUAGAUCUUGGAUAUUCAGCCCCAUCAACUAGGCAUGUCAGUUUGCUUUCAUAGAAUUUUGUUGCCAAUGGUCUUUGCCCAGACUACCUUGUAGGCAUUGUCUCCCUCUGGAGAGUGGUGCCUUUGAUGGUCUAUUGUAUGUUUUUCUUCCUCUUUUUUUGUUUCCUUGGAGAAUGUCUUUUUCAUUCUUUUAUUCCAUUCCCUUAUCUAAAAAUAUGUUUCUUGCCAAAAAGAGAAAAAAAAAUGCUCUGACUGCUACUUGUUGACCUAUCGCCUGAGUAACAUCCCCAAUCAAUUUCUUUGUGGUGUGUAGGUUCCUGUGGCAUCUGCUGCUGAAGAAAUAGCAGAGCUCAAAAAAUUGCUUCAGAAUGAGGCUUCUUUAAGAACAGCUACUGAAGAGGAAGUCAAUAACCUUAAGAGCCAAGUAGUUCAGUGGAAAAGGAUUGAGGUGGUCAUGCACUAUUUCUUCUUUUGGAGUCAUCUAGUUUCCUGUUUUACAAUUUUGGUGACUAGGUUGGUGAUACAUGAUUCUGCAUUUGGUAUAAUAGGCAGCAGGAAAUUCUGAGAUAUUAAAACUUCGCAAGAUGCUGGAAGAUGAGGCACACCAAAAAGAGAAACUUGAAGAAGAAAUUGCAAUACUGCAAAGUCAGUUGUUUCAAUUAAGUUUUGAAGCUGAUGAGGUAUGCAGGUUGUGGAUUAUAAGUAUGUUUGUUAUGGUUUCAACUUGUAUUUCUGAUUGCUGCUGAUGCAAUAUAUAGGCUAAGUUGUGUUAUAGUUUGAUUCAUACUUCUGGGUGUUUCUCAAGGGAAUGAUUUGCUAGUGGUAUCUUCUUGUUUGGGGAAAUAGUUGAGCUUUUAAAAAUUCAUGCAACAAAGGGGAAAAAAAAUUCUGAAUGCAAGAUUAGGUUAGACUGAUACUUAUUUACUCAUAAGAUAAAAUUAUGAAAACAAACAGUAGGUUAACAAGUUCAUGUUGUGUUGAAACACAAAGGAAAUGUUGUGUCAAGAAAAUGCUUCACUCUCUAGUGAUGAGCCCUUUAGAACAUACCUUAAAUGGUCCAAGGUCUCUAAUUUCUGUAAGGUCAUAUUCGUUAAUCUAGAAUAUGGAUCAUGAAAUUUAGUUUCUUGGAAUUUAUCAAAGUUAGUUCUUUGGUUGACUAAAUUUCUAGAAACAUGACUCAUGAAGAUACUGUUGAAAAUUUCUUAAAUUCCUAUUGUCAUAUAUUCCUUUUGAUAAAGAAUAUUAUAUAAAUACUUUAUAUAUUGGUAUUUCCUGGUAAAAAUAGGUUUCUUUGUAGAAUAAGGAAAGGUGUUACAAACAUCUAGGUCAUGAAGGAAAACUAAUAAGUAGAGAUGUGAGAAAAGUGGGAGACACUCGUUGGAGCACUACUCAUGGUUUAGGGUGUAGAUACUAGGAGCCAAGAACAUGAGAUCGUUUCAAGACAUGAGAGUUAUAUCUAUUUUCUCUUUCUUUUGCAAUUUCUCUAUUGUAAAGUGAAAUAUUUUCAUCAUCUAUGGAUGUAAGCAUACCACGUUAAAACCUUGCGUACCUUUAUGUGUAUGUUUAUUUAUUUAUUUUAUGUUAUUCUACUAACACAUAUCAAUGAAGCUUCUGCUAACACAAUAUAUACCUUGCAUCCACCCCUUAAACUGUGGGAAAUUUGUAGUGAUAAAAAAAAAACAAUUUAUUUUAGUAACUACACUUUAGUUUGGCUAGAAUGUGGGUGAUCAAACCGAUGUAUUUUGAUCAUUUGAAUAAAACUUGGAACAGUUAUAUCAAUAAGAGUUGGUGGGCUGGUAUGAUGACAUAAUGAAGAGGUCUAGAAUGGAAUUUUGGAGUGAAUGCAAGCCUCUAUAAGUUUCUGUUUCCCAACUAUUAGUCCUUUGGAAGUGGAAUAUUAUUCGAAGGAUACUUGUAGACUCAAGCCAAUUCAUGUUUGAACAAAUUGAGAUAUCGAAAUACUCCUAUUUCUCAUCCAAAAUAUAUAUGUUGAUCUACUUGGCACUUACAAUUGAAAUUCCUUCUGCAUCUGGAUGGCAUGAAACUUAUUUCUUGGGAAUUAUAAGAUGGAAUUCUUGAUUUGUUUGGAGUUGCUAUCCUUGGAAAUUGAAAUUCUCAGUAGCAAACUGCCCCAGAGACUGUUACUUCUGACAUGCUCCAGAACGCAUUAUAAAUUUGAAUUAACACAUAUCUAUCUUUAUAGACAAGCAGACAACUUGACAGAGGUGGAUCUGGGAAAGUUCUUGGAAAUCUGGAUUCUUUCGUGUCACAAAUUAGGCAUUCACAGCUUAGUGAUUCAGGAAAUGGGGAUAAGGCCUCGAUAGCUAAACUCUUCGAACAAGGUACCAUAAAAUGCCUGGUCGGAUUUUUACAGUUAAUGGCUGCAUAUACUUAAUAUUAUAGCUACCUAUUUUCCUUUGUUUCUUCCUAACAAGAUCCAGUGUCCUGACAGUGGGAUUGCAAAAGAUCUUGUCAUUGCUUGAAGCUGAAGAUGCUGAUGUGCGAAUUCAUGCUGUAAAAGUGGUAGCAAAUCUUGCCGCCGAAGGUGCCUUCUGACUUUUCAUAGCCUUCUGUUUCCAUUAACAUGUUUUAUUCUUUAAAAUAUUCUUUUAUCUUUUGUGAGAUAAGCAUAUUUCGGACUGCCUUCACAUACUUCCUAUGCUUCCUAUUUGAAGGUUACUUCUUUUGUUUCCCCUUUUCCAUUUGACGUGGGGAGAUGGAGAUCUGUUGAUUGAAAAAGUUGCUUACUUGUCAACAUUAUUUAUAAAAUGGAUAUCUGGAUGGCCUUUUGUAUCAUCCAAAUGAAAGGUGUAANNNNNNNNNNNNNNNNNNNNNNNNNNNNNNNNNNNNNNNNNNNNNNNNNNNNNNNNNNNNNNNNNNNNNNNNNNNNNNNNNNNNNNNNNNNNNNNNNNNNNNNNNNNNNNNNNNNNNNNNNNNNNNNNNNNNNNNNNNNNNNNNNNNNNNNNNNNNNNNNNNNNNNNNNNNNNNNNNNNNNNNNNNNNNNNAUCAUUUGAUGCCAUUCAUCAUGCUUAGACUGAGGAAAUGGUAAAGACAGAACUAGAAUUGUAGAGGGCUUGGUUGAAAUUGGAAGGGCAGUUGGGGAAAAUUAGAUAACUGGUGUUCGGAUAUGGAUGAAUCAUUGGGAUCACUUUUGGUAUGCAAAAUAGGGUCUGUUGUCUCCAUUAGCCUUUAAAAACUCUGGCUUUCUUUGGAAUUAUUGAAACAAAUGAUUCCAUCCCAUUCUGGAGUAAAUUAGUCUGAAAAAACGCUAAUGAAACUGAGUAUUGAGAUUACUGAUCAAGGUUGGAUAAUGGUUAAGUUGAUGGUACAAAAAUACAUCAGAACUACCAUGUUGCUUAUUCAUCUAUUAGGAGAAAUUUAGGAAGAUGGUUAAUUGUUCACCAUAGUGUAGUUAUUACUAAUUCUCUGUAAUUUCUAAAAGGCCUAGAAUUUAUGCAUGUAGUUUGUUUAAUUUAUGCCUCUAAUGAUGUCUUGAAUUACUGUAGUCAACACCAUUAAAUCUCAGCAUGAAUUUUGAUUUGUCUGCUUUUCAAUGAAUAAAUAACAUCUUCAUGUGAUAGUUGUAGCUUCUAUGAGGAUAUUUAACAUGAGUAGAAGGAUUGGAAAAGGACAUGUAGGGUAGAGAAAACUUGUGCUCAUAGCAAGUGAUAAAAUGAGGGAUUUUCAUUUGAGAUUGUUUUUAAUAUUGUCUAGAGAAUUCUAAACAACAAAUGCAUGGGUGUGAGUUAGUACGAGGAAAGCCGCUGAAAAAGUAACAGAGGGAGGUUUUGUUGGAAUGAACAGGGUAAUAAAUUUAGUAAAAAGAAGGAAUUAUAUCCUCAUUAGAAAAAGGAAAGAAAUGCAAAGAGGAUGUGACCUUUGGUUGGCUAAAACUGACAGGAAGGUUUAGUUUCUUAUCCCAAAUUUCUUGAGGAGCCCAUCUACAUGGCAGCUUGGAGUUAGCCAUGUGGAAAUUGCUUGAGUAGUCAUGUGUGGGUUUGAUCAUCUGGUCCCAUGAAAGUUAACCCAAGAGUCAUAGAAUACCAAGCUUGCUUGGAACAUUUAUGUAUAUUAAAUCACUACUGGUUUUAUAAAUAUAGUUAUUUGCAAUGUUGUGAUUGCUAUUAUUCUAUAUCCUCAACUUGGCCUAUGAGAUCAUGCUACAAUGGACCACUCUCUCUUGCUGAAGAUGAUCAUUUCAAUAGCUGUUACUAGUUUCCAUCCUUAAUUAUCUGUUAGCAGUGGUUUUUACUUCCCCUCUAAUUUGCAGAAACAAAUCAAGAGAAGAUUGUAGAGGCUGGUGGUCUUUCAUCCUUACUGAUGCUUCUUAGAAGCUCUGAGGAUGAGACUAUACAGAGAGUUGCAGCAGGUGCAAUUGCGAACCUUGCAAUGAAUGGUAAAUCAUUAAUCCCUUGCUUUCUAGAAUAUAUUUGACAAACUUGGUUAAUAUUAUUGAUACUUUUGGAAUUGGGUUUUUUGACAUUUACUUUACCUUCCUUUCACGUUUAACCAUUUUAUCUGUCCAUGCAGAAACCAACCAAGAGCUUAUAAUGUCUCAAGGAGGCAUUAGUUUAUUGUNNNNNNNNNNNNNNNNNNNNNNNNNNNNNNNNNNNNNNNNNNNNNNNNNNNNNNNNNNNNNNNNNNNNNNNNNNNNNNNNNNNNNNNNNNNNNNNNNNNNGACACAGCCAAUGCUCCUAAGGGAAUGGUAGUUCCAAUGAAAAUAAAAAUCCAACUAUUUAGAUAUGAUUCCUACUGCUCUAACUGCUACUGUAUUGCAUUGUCCAGAUAAGUUACAGAUAAAGCUAAGAGGCGAAGGUGGUAUUAAGGCAUUGCUAGGAAUGGUCAGAUGUGGACAUCCUGAUGUUCUUGCACAAGUUGCUCGUGGAAUUGCAAACUUUGCAAAAUGUGAGUCCAGGGCAUCAAGUCAAGGUAAUAUGCUUAGAAGGAGGCAUUUCUGAAGUCUUUAAUUGUUGUAGGGCACAAACAGAACUGCUAUCUUGGUUCUUAAGCAUAACUUUCGAACCCCCUAGAUGUGUUUAUGCCAUGUUGACAAAAUACUCUAAAUUUUCUAGAAAGUCUAUUUUCAUGGAGCAUGCUGAAGUCACCGUCAUUUCUAAGUUAUAGUGCAAUCCAAAGAACUUCUCAAAUGUAAAAAAUAAUUGUUGCCUUUUAUUGUUUUGUGUUGACACAUGGCAUUUCUGCUCCUACUGCAUCAGGAACCAAGAGUGGAAGAUCGCUACUUAUUGAAGAUGGUGCACUUCCAUGGAUUGUACAAAAUGCUAACAAUGAGGCCUCACCAAUCAGGCGCCAUAUUGAGCUUGCACUCUGCCAUUUAGCACAACAUGGUAAGUUGACCUUUCUUUGGAAACCUGCAAAUCUCUUCAUGCAUCCCCCCUGAGAAGGCUUGAAUUUCCACAUUUCAGAAGUGAAUGCAAAGGACAUGAUUAGUGGAGGUGCCCUCUGGGAGUUGGUCCGAAUCUCACGAGACUGUUCACGCGAGGACAUAAGGACUCUUGCGCAUAGGACACUAAAUUCUAGCCCCACCUUCCAAACUGAAUUGAGGCGACUCCGUAUAGAGUGUUGAUGGAUAUUUGUGGAAUAUUUGAGGUUGGAAUGCAAGUGUGGAAGAUUGGAGAAGGAGCUUUUAAACUCAAGUUAGUGUGGGACAAACAAACAGGAAUGCUGUCAUCAGUGCCCCUGUUCAAGUUUUGUUAAGAGUGGGUGGGUAGGUUGGUGUUUGUAGCCUUUAUUUUUAGCUGAUUACAAAUGGACCCUUAUCUGUUAGUCAAUUUAUUACCAUGUAAUUUCAUUUCUUGUAUGGAUAGGUUCGCCUUAGUGAGACCACUCCAAACUAAGCUUCUAACUAUUGUAUAAAUUAGUUUGUAUAUGAAAUGAAAAGAAGAGAAAAAAAGGAAAAAAAAUAAAAUAAAUAUGUAAUGUUGUGGUAUAUAGAACACUCAUGUUACAGAGUAGUUUGUUAAAAUCUUUUACUUUCCAUCAUAUUUCCAAAAUUCAAUGUGAAUCUCCUCAUCUAUAUUGCAUGGUAAGAUUGUGAUGUAAUUGAUAAUAAUUUUUUUAGAUGCCGAGUGGUAUGAACCGCCCAGAAAGCAAGAUCAAUGAUACCAAUGGCUCAGCAAUCACAGAAAUGGAUAUGGAUCCCUUGCUUGGGCAAUUUCUUCUGUGUUUUAUGGGUGGAACUGCUUAAAUGUCAUAGUUUUUCACGUGCAGGAAAGUGCUAUGCUGCUGGUCCCUUUUCAUUACUGGGAUGCCACUUUUCCAGCCCCACAUUCUCUGCAUGGCUCCUCAAUAUCAGAGACAUAAUGAUAGACCCACCCAUCCAAUUAUUUUCGAUUUUCAUUGAAGUUGUUUACUUCUUUCCUUUUUGCGUAACAGAAUUCCAAUGAUGUCUAUGGACAUCUAAUGAUGCAUCACUUGUUAUGCAAUCUCCAUAUGGCCAUGAAAUUCAACUUUCUCUGGAAACUAAGAGCGCAUUUUGUGGACUUUCUUGGAGCUGUCAUAGCCCCAGAGCUAGCCCACUGGUCAAAUCUUCACUCUGAAAUUACAAAUACCUGACAUUGAUAUUUCCUGGCAGCUCCACAACAAACCCAAAUUCCUUCCAUUCCUUUCUGUUCCCUUCUUUUUUAAGGCAGUGACAAUUGUUCCCAUAAGCCUAAUUGGGCAAAAAGAAAACCCAGAAAUAAAAUUUUUAUCACUACACAGGAGUUUGUUUUGCAAACAUGACUAAUAAAUUUGACUCAAAACAGUAUACGAUUCUUCACAUUUUUCCCAAGUCUUCACAUUUGAUAUUCCAAAGAAAAGAAUGUCCCUAUCAUAAGCCCAAAAAGCAAAAGAACAAACUCCAUGGACUCCCACAUGCACCCAAUCUACAUUCAUAUUACAAAUAGUAAUAAUAAUAAUAUUUCAUCCCAAAUUCAUCUGGAUCCCUAACGAACAUUACCUAGUUAUGUCAUUGAGUACUUCUUCAAAAGUAAAACUCCUAUAUAAACAAAUUUGGCACCUAAGAUGUACAUCUUAGAGGAUUUUUAAGAAGCAAUAUCAUAACAGGCAUCAUUCAGCAAGACAAUUACCGGCAUCAUAUGAUAAGAUGAGCACAUAAGAUAUAGUCAUAUGAAGCGAGAGAGAUGAUCGAUAAAGGCUUCGCAAGGGAGGGUUAAACAGGUGAAUGAAAGAGGAAGAAGCAAGAGUACUGCUGCCUACCUCCAUCAACUGGGGCACAACAAAACUUCAGUGUGUAGAACCAAAUGCCACUAUCCACAACCAAAUUAUGAUUAUCUCGAAAGUGGAGAGCCCCAUUCUAUCUGUCUAUAUAUAUAUAUAUUUACAGGCCUUAUAUAUGGGCACGAAGUUUGCACCAUGAAAGCUAGUCUACAUACUUUUGAGACUGACUAAAAACCAAUCAUUAGGGGGGAAUUAGUGGGUGCCAAAGCUAGCUUGGAGCUGAUAUUUUAUUUUCUUGAUGGGCCAGGAAAAAGGAAACUAAGAGAAAUGAUGAUAUUGGAGAUUCCUAAGUGAAACACUAAUUUAAAUAAAUAAAUAAAUAAGAGAAAAAACUAGGAAACUGUUGAUGCAUUAAGUGAAGAAGAAGAGGAAGAUGUAUCUCGACAAGAACAGCAAUGUUGAGGUGGAUGGUAAACCUACCAAACAAAAGAAAAUCCCAGCUUAUCAUUAGUAGAAUAAGACAGUUGGCUUCAAGAAUCCUAUCCCAUAGAAUGAAUUGAUCAACAAAGAAGAGAAAUGAUGGUGCAAAAGAAAAGCAAAAAAUAAAAAUAAAAAAAAUUGAAAAAAGUUGACUAUAUAUGAAGUUUUCCCCAUAGAAGAAUGGAUAGGAUACAGCUUUACUAAGAGUGGAGAAGUAGUAAUAGCUGUAAUGGAGAAAAGCAAACGAUAUUUCCUGAACUUUGAACAGUUGACCAAUCCCCUAUUUCCUGAAUCCCGACUUCUGAGAGAGGGAGAGAGAGAGAGAGAGAAUAUAAAGCUCAUCCCACUUUGUCCUGGCUGUUGCCUUUUUAUGGAAGUGUUGUUUGCCUCGAAAAGGAACUUGUUCAGAGCAGUGCACGUGUAAACCAGAAGGCACAUAUUAUUCAUGUCUCCAGGAAAAGACUCUUAAACUCACUAAAGAAAGCCAAAAAAAUGUGCAAACUCUAAGCCCAUACCCCUUUUUCUUCUCGUAAAUAGUUUGCCACCUCCUUGCCUCCCAUCGAAACCGUCGCUGCCUUUAGUGAACCCUCAUCCUCUCAUCUCCUCAGCUUAUCAACUGAUGAACUACAACACCAACAACACUGCUGCUCAUAUAUGAUCACAAUGUCUUUCUUGAGAUUUCUGUGAUGCUGAGGAUAUAUCAACAUAUAGAGAGGAAUUUCACAGAAAGAGAUGAAUGUGGGUUAUAGAUAUACACACACACACGGGAAUGUAAAGAAACAAUGGAGUACAAAUCAAGUUUUGUUUGAUAUAUAUGUGCGGGUAUGUGGGCGUGUGAGAGGGAGACUAUGAAUUGGUGAGGUGGGGGACUUUCAUAACCCAAUGUGGAUUCAACUGAUUAGAGCACACAACAGAAGACUAAUAUAUGGUUGCGUUUCUCCAAUUGGAGAGAUAUCACAUGAGAAAAUUCUUAGAGCUGAAAGAUCAAACAUGGAUGAGAAAGACAGUCAUUCUUAUUCUAGUGCUUCUAUGUUGUUUUUCCUUUUGUUGGAGUCCUUAUUGUCCCUUCUCCUACCUUCUUUCUUCUGCCCUUAAUCAACGGACCAAAUUGUGGUAGCAGUUAUUCCCAUAAAAUCAAACUCACGAACAAUCCAUGAAUUUACACAGUUUUUCCAUCAACAUGCANNNNNNNNNNNNNNNNNNNNNNNNNNNNNNNNNNNNNNNNNNNNNNNNNNNNNNNNNNNNNNNNNNNNNNNNNNNNNNNNNNNNNNNNNNNNNNNNNNNNUGUUGCAGGAGAAUCGAACGUCGUCGUUUUCCUUUUUGGAUACAGCGGGCGGUUCUUCCUCCUCCUCUUCAUGUUCUUUUACGUUCGGUAAUGUAGGUGUUGGCGGUGGCGAUAAAUCUGAGCCAAAGGUGCCUAACAGGUGCAUGAGCUGCAACAAGAAGGUGGGGUUGACGGGGUUCAGAUGCAAGUGCGGGAGUACCUUUUGCGGGGCUCAUCGUUACCCAGAGAAGCACGAGUGCACAUUCGAUUUCAAGGCCUCAGGGCGUGACGCCAUUGCCAAGGCUAAUCCGGUGGUUAAGGCUGAUAAACUGGACAGGCUGUGAAACCACCUGGAUUGGUAUUUUCUUUAUAAUCAUCAUCAUCUUCUUCUUCUUCUUCUUUAGGGUUUCUUUAUUUGGUUAGGGCUUUGUGGGAAAGCUGGUGGUUAUGGUGCUGUUCUUGCUUAAUGGUGGUUUGUGGGUGAAAGGGAUGGAUAAUACGUGGUGGUUGGGGGGAGGGGGGUGGCUUCCAUAAUAAAGUGGCUAAUUGAAUUGUUAUUAGUUGUAGUUUGCCCUUUUCUUUAUUCUUUUUUCUUUUUAAACUUUUUCUUCCCUCUUUUUCUGCUCUGCUGCUAAACUACUUUAUCACAUCUAUUCUAAUAUCCAUAGUCCAUACUACAACCUAGCUUGGUAUUUAGGGUUAAUGAGUAUCUGCAUCCUUUUUCUUAGAAUAUGGCUUCUGAAACAUUCUUUCUUAAAAAUAAAUAAUAAAUAAAUGAAUACGAAAAGUU
rnacentral:lncRNA from 1 species